CACGUUCCCCUCUCUCUCUCUCGCCCGACGCCGCCCACCACUCGUUCCCCACCACUCGUCUCUCUCUCGUGCGCGACGCCGUCCUCUCCCCGUCGAUGUGCCCACUCGCCGGCAUCUUGCUCCGCACCGUCGCCUAGCUCACCGCUCCCCACGCAUCGCUGCCUAGCUCACCGCUCCCAACGCGCCACCCUCUCAAACUCCGGCAAUGCACUGCUGGGCGAGGAGUAGAUGCAGAAAGCUGCCAUUUUUAUGCGCCGGCAACGCGCUGCUGGGCGAGGAGGAGGCGCGCGCUGGCGCUAGAUCUGAGUGUGUUGGCGCUCGAUCUGCUUUGUGGAGAGGCAUGAAGGAGGCGUUGAAGCGGAGCCGGAGCGGCACCGGCGCGGGCGUGAAGACGGCGACAGUAGGAGCUGGAGCCCGAGCAGGUGGAGGUGGAGCCGCAUCUGGACCUUGUACUGCAUGAAGAUGGAUGGAGUAGAGAGCCUAGAGGCUAGAGUAGGAAAGAGCCUUGGACAGGAGCCAUGGACAGCGCAUGACAGAGCCAUGGACAGUGCAGCAUCACAAACUUCAUUCCGGUAGAGCCUGAUGCAGCGCAGCAUCACAACCUUGAUGGAAGGAGGCCAGGCCAUGAAGAAAAAAGCUCCUGCCCAUAUCGAUUCAAGAGGAGAGGAGGGCCAUGGAGGGAGAAGCCUGCUGCUGCAAUACCUACCUUGUCGUCCUCAUGGUGGGGUGUAGUUGAGGUCUGGGAGAUCCAUGUUCUCCAGGCAACUGAAAAGAACUUUCAAGAUUGUUUUAAAGAAGGGCUAUUGAAAAAAGAUGUGUGAGAGUAUUAGUGACUCUCAUGUGGGCAUGCCGCACUUUUCAGGUAGCAGGUUGAUCUCUCAACAUUUCUCCAUUCAAGUCAUUUCCCCUAGUGUUUUUUCGAAGCACUACUGCAGAUUGCAUACUAAGAAUGACCGGAGUAUUUUAUUUACAUCAAAUAAUGUCAAACAGUUUAGAUUGUUCAGUCAUACCAUAGUGUUUAAAAGUUUGGACAUUCUGAAGAUUCAAAUAAAAAUAGACAUGUGCACACUUUACUUGAUCAUGUCGAGUUAUAGGUGAAAGAGACCCUCUUAUGGGAAUAAUGAAGUACAUAAAUGAUAGUGAGUUCAAAGUAAGGCUGUUCUGCCGGGGAAACAUCCCUCCGGGAGGGGGAAACCAUCGCCAUCGUCAUCACCAACGAUCCUCUCAUCGGAAGGGGGUCAAUCUCCAUCAACAUCUUCACCAGCACCAUCUCCUCUAAAACCCUAGUUCAUCUCUUGUAUCCAAUCUUUGUCCCAAAGCCUCAGAUUGGUACCU